rnacentral:lncRNA from 1 species
UUCAACUCUGUGAGUUGAAAGCAAACAUCACAAAGAAGUUUCUGAGAAUGCUUCUGUUUAGCUUUUCUGUGAAGAUUAUCCCGUUUCCAACGAAAUCUUCAAAGAGGCCCAAACAUCCACUUGCAGAUGCCACAGAAAGAGUGUUUGGAAACUGCUGUUUGAAAAGGAACCUUCAACUCUGUGAAUUGAAUGCAGUCAUCACAAACAAGUUUCUGACAAUGCUUCUCUCUAGUUUUUACGUGACGAUAAUUCGUUUUCCACCACAGGCCUGAAAUCUCUCCAAAUGUCCACUUGCAGACCCUACGAAAAGCAUGUUUCUCAUCUGCUCUAUGAAAAGCAACGUGAAACUCUGUGAGUUGAACACAAACAUCACAGAGAAGUUUCUGAGAAUGCUUCUGUUUAGUUUUUAUGUGAAGAUAUUCCCGUUUCCAAAGACAACUUCUAAGAGGACCACAUAUCCACUUGCAGAUUCCACAAAAAGAGAGAUUCAAAACUGCUCUAUCCAUAGGAGGGUUCAACGCUAUGAGUUGAAUGCAAUCAUCACAGAGAAGUUUCUGAGAAGGCU